UACGAAGGGGGCUAGCGUUGUUCGGAAUUACUGGGCGUAAAGCGCACGUAGGCGGACUACUAAGUCAGGGGUGAAAUCCCGGGGCUCAACCCCGGAACUGCCUUUGAUACUGAUAGUCUCGAGUCCGGAAGAGGUGAGUGGAAUUCCGAGUGUAGAGGUGAAAUUCGUAGAUAUUCGGAGGAACACCAGUGGCGAAGGCGGCUCACUGGUCCAUUACUGACGCUGAGGUGCGAAAGCGUGGGGAGCAAACAGG
rnacentral:rRNA from 1 species